GUAGAUAUAGUUUUAACCAAAACAUUAGAUUGUGAUUCUAAAAACAGAGGUUAAAAUCCUCUUAUCCACC
rnacentral:tRNA from 7 species